GACGAACGCUGGCGGCGUGCCUAAUACAUGCAAGUAGAACGCUGAAGGAGGAGCUUGCUUCUCUGGAUGAGUUGCGAACGGGUGAGUAACGCGUAGGUAACCUGCCUGGUAGCGGGGGAUAACUAUUGGAAACGAUAGCUAAUACCGCAUAAUAGUAGAUGUUGCAUGACAUUUGCUUAAAAGGUGCAAUUGCAUCACUACCAGAUGGACCUGCGUUGUAUUAGCUAGUUGGUGGGGUAACGGCUCACCAAGGCGACGAUACAUAGCCGACCUGAGAGGGUGAUCGGCCACACUGGGACUGAGACACGGCCCAGACUCCUACGGGAGGCAGCAGUAGGGAAUCUUCGGCAAUGGACGGAAGUCUGACCGAGCAACGCCGCGUGAGUGAAGAAGGGUUUCGGAUCGUAAAGCUCGGUUGUAAGAGAAGAACGAGUGUGAGAGUGGAAAGUUCACACUGUGACGGUAUCUGACCAGAAAGGGACGGCUAACUACGUG
rnacentral:rRNA from 1 species